AGUACUAGUGAUAUACAAAUGGCUGAGCGUGAAAAAGGUAGGAGUUGAGUUUUUGGGAAUAGAUGGAACAAUAGAAACGCAAGCAUCCUCAUCACCACUUAUUUUAUUCCCAAAUUUGAAAACACUUGAAUUCAACUCUUUGUAUACGUGGGAAGAGUGGGAAGGAAUGACAGGGUGGAGUGAAGAAGGGGAUUCUCAGAAGACAAUUAAAAUAAUGCCCUGCCUUUCUUCCUUACUAAUUUAUGAUUGCGGAGUACUAAGAACGCUGCCCAACUUCUUACGAAAUACACCACUGAAGAAGUUGGUCAUCGAUGAGAACUACUAUCCAACACUUGCACAAGGUUGCCGAAAAGGCGGAGGAGAGUGGCCCAAGAUUUCUCACAUCCCAAACAUCAAAGUUGGUAAAGAAUUUGUACAAAAAGACGGAGUUUACCAAAUUGAUGAUGAUGAGAUGCCAAGUGUUGCUUCCACAUCUUCUUCUGGUAUUAAAAAAUUUCUCAAAAACUGUCUCGGGCUAGGCCUGGCCCUACCUGGCCAGGCCUAGAUCCGUGCCAACGACCUCCAUUUCCAAAUUCUAGCCGUUGAAGGUAUUUUCUGGCAUGCAAAGAGGAAAGUCUCAUUUGAAUUCACACUCCGAAGAUAAUCUUGUUGGAAGUGUGCACUUUGUCCAGUGCAGUAGGGAAAAUAAUUAUAAUAUCUUAUAUGUAUG